GCUGAACGCUGGCGGCAGGCCUAACACAUGCAAGUCGAACGAGUGGCGGACGGGUGAGUAAUGUCUAGGAAUCUGCCUGGUAGUGGGGGAUAACGUCCGGAAACGGGCGCUAAUACCGCAUACUAUCAGAUGAGACUAGGUCGGAUUAGCUAGUUGGUGGGGUAAAGGCUUACCAAGGCGACGAUCCCUAGCUGGUCCGAGAGGAUGACCAGCCACACUGGAACUGAGACACGGUCCAGACUCCUACGGGAGGCAGCAGUGGGGAAUAUUGCACAAUGGGCGCGAGCCUGAUGCAGCCAUGCCGCGUGUAUGAAGAAGGCCUUCGGGUUGUAAAGUACUUUCAGCGGGGAGGCGUUACCCGCAGAAGAAGCACCGGCUAACUCCGUGCCAGCCGCCGCGGUAAUUC
rnacentral:rRNA from 1 species